rnacentral:rRNA from 1 species
UACAGAGGCUGCAAGCGUUAUUCGGAUUCACUGGGCGUAAAGGGUGCGCAGGCGGCCGAGUGUGUGAGGCGUGAAAGCCCGGGGCUUAACCCCGGAAUUGCACCUCAAACUACACGGCUAGAGCAUUGGAGAGGGUAGCAGAAUUCAUGGUGUAGCAGUGAAAUGCGUAGAUAUCAUGAGGAAUACCAGAGGCGAAGGCGGCUACCUGGACAAUUGCUGACGCUCAGGCACGAAAGCGUGGGGAGCAAAAGGG